AGGACGAACGCUGGCGGCGUGCUUAACACAUGCAAGUCACGGGGGCCCGCAAGGGCAACCGGCGAACGGGUGCGUAACACGUGAGCAACCUGCCUUUGUGUGGGGGAUAGCCGGGCUAACGCCCGGGUAAUACCGCAUACGGUUCUCGAGGGGAGUCCCUUGGGAAAGAAACCUCCGGGGCACAGAGAGGGGCUCGCGGCCUAUCAGCUAGUUGGCGGGGUAAUGGCCCACCAAGGCGACGACGGGUAGCU
rnacentral:rRNA from 1 species